AUUGAACGCUGGCGGAAUGCUUUACACAUGCAAGUCGAACGGCAGCACGGGGGCAACCCUGGUGGCGAGUGGCGAACGGGUGAGUAAUACAUCGGAACGUGCCCAGUCGUGGGGGAUAACGUAGCGAAAGUUACGCUAAUACCGCAUACGAUCUACGGAUGAAAGCGGGGGACCGUAAGGCCUCGCGCGAUUGGAGCGGCCGAUGUCAGAUUAGGUAGUUGGUGAGGUAAAGGCUCACCAAGCCGACGAUCUGUAGCUGGUCUGAGAGGACGACCAGCCACACUGGGACUGAGACACGGCCCAGAAUCCGACGGGAGGCAGCAGUGGGGAAUUUUGGACAAUGGGCGCAAGCCUGAUCCAGCCAUUCCGCGUGCAGGACGAAGGCCUUCGGGUUGUAAACUGCUUUUGUACGGAACGAAAAGGCUCUGGUUAAUACCUGGGGCUCGUGACGGUACCGUAAGAAUAAGCACCGGCUAACUACGUGCCAGCAGCCGCCGUAA
rnacentral:rRNA from 1 species